UCAGAAUUGGCUCAGGAGAGAGAUGAAGAGAAAAUGCACAUAGAUCAUUGGCUCAGAUAACAUACUCUGUUUCUAGAAGUCACAAAGAGUGGAAAUUGGAAUAUGUAAAUUAAAGAAAAACAGUCCUUAAGAUUCAAGUCCACAAUGGAAGAAGAACAUUCAUUUGGUGCAAGUUGGCGAUUGCAGAAGCCCAAGGAGUGAUGUCAACACUGGGGUUCACCUGAGAACAUGGACAUGGCUAGUGAGGGUUUAGGAGAUGCUCAUAGGCGGUCUUCAUAUGUGCCCUGGAUCCCAGCUCUGCCUUCCACCCAAGAGGAUGUGAUUCAGCCAAGAUGUCCCAGAGUCAGCUCUCUGCUCAUAUUUGUUCUGCACUGAAGUGAAUCAUCUGAGAAACCCAAGAGGUGUUUAAUGCAGUUUAGGAAACAGAGGGAUGAAAGCCAUAAAUUCCUUUUCAUGUAGCAGAGUAUAUACAUGAUACUCAUUCUGUGACAUUUGGGGCAUAAACAAGAGUAGAUGAAGGAAUGUUAAGAUACUCCAGAUAAUGACUUUUAUCUCUAUAAAAAUGGUAUAGGGACCACACACACUUGGUUGUGAUGACGUACUUUUCAGAUUCGCUACCGGCCUUUUACUGAUUUUUCUGUGCCACAGGCCUUAACUCCUGCAGUCUAAAUUUCUCAGUCCCUUCUGCUCACUAAUACGUGGGAAGGUUUGGCCAAAAGUGGGUGACUGGUGGUAAGAAGGAAGAGAGAAUUCAGGGGAUUGCUGAGCCCAUUCUCUACUCUCGAUAGUACAGCUGGCACUGGCUCUGUGUUCUCAGUUUCUAUCUCCCAUCAGACAAUUCUUACCUCUAUGGUCCUACUCCGACCUGGACACUUUCCAGCUGGAUUCCAGUUCUGGGGAUGUUCCCUCCUUCUGAGCUCUAAGUCCUUCCCAUUGGCUUCAACUCCCAGGCUCAGCUAGCACCACCUUUUCCCAUUGUCCCUACAGGGCUAGGGCUUCCAGUGGUAUUAAUGUCGGUGUUGUAUCAUCUUUCCUGAAUUUCAGUUCUCUGUCACCAGUUCCCCAAAUAAAAUUUCCCCCAUAUUCCUAC